GUCAGGAGGAGCGGCUCACCAGAAAUUUGAUCACGGCGUUGCGUAAAAAGAGAAAUAAACCGCGUGGCAUUUAAAAAGACAAAAACGUCUUGUUGCCUCGUUUUCAAGUACCAAACAACACGCAGUUUAUAUCUCUAUCAGAUUUCUGUUUUGUUCUUCGUCACUCACUCUGGGUCUCCUCUCUGACCAAUCCCAAAGCAAAAGAGCUUCUGCGAUCUUUCAUCCUCCUCUGGUUUCGUAUCUAAUCUGAUUUGAGGGAAGGAGAUGGGUUUCAUAAUGGAGUUCGCGGAGAAUCUGGUGCUGAGGUUGAUGGAGGAUCCGGAGGUGAGAGACAGGAAAGCGAGGGAGCACAUAUAUGAGAUGCACGAGAGGUGCAAGAAGAUUAAGGAGAUGUGGGCUUUGCCUAUUCGUCCUUAUGGUUUCUGGACUUUUGAGCGCCACAACGCUCAGCUUCGUUGGGAUCCUCAGAUCAGUCAGGUUGCUGGUCGCAGGGACCCUUAUGAUGAUCUCCUUCAGGACCAUCCUUCUUCCUCUUCUUCCUCAAACUAAUCAAACAAUUGCAGAAGAUGUGUUGUGAUGAUGUCUGGAUAGAUGGUCUCUGUUUCAAUUCCCGAUUGUACGAAGCGUGGUACAAACUCAAUAAUAAUAAUCACUCUUAGACUUGUUUACAAACGAGAGAGGAGUAUACUCUCAUUGUUUCGUAGUAAAGUUGUUUGAUUCUCCAUUCGCAUCUUUGAAUAUAAAUAUACUUUCCGAA